CAUUACAGAGAACAUCGCCCUCACGGGUGACUCUCCAACCCUAUGUUAUUGUACCUUUGUUGCUUUGGCGAGCCGCUUCGGCCACCGGCUUCUGCUGGUGCGUGCUCGCCAGAGGACCCCAAACUCUGAAUAUUAAUGUCGUCUGAGUACUAUAUAAUAGUUAAAACUUUCAACAACGGAUCUCUUGGUUCUGGCAUCGAUGAAGAACGCAGCGAAAUGCGAUAAGUAAUGUGAAUUGCAGAAUUCAGUGAAUCAUCGAAUCUUUGAACGCACAUUGCGCCCUGUGGUAUUCCGCAGGGCAUGCCUGUUCGAGCGUCAGUACAACACUCAAGCCCAGCUUGGUAUUGAACCACAUCCGCAAGGAUCGGUUUUAAAAUCAGUGGCGGCGCCAUCUGGCUCUAAGCGUAGUAAUUCUUCUCGCUUCUGGGUCCUGAUGGAUGCUGGCCAGCAACCCCCAACUUUCUAAGUUGACCUCGGAUCAGGUAGGGAUACCC
rnacentral:rRNA from 1 species